GGAUGCUUUUCCCGCUGCGUUUUAGGCUGAUGUUACGAUUCCUGACGCCGCACAAUUUCCAGGUCGGUGGUUCAAUUUGCCGAGGGCUGGCUCAGCUCCGCGACGUGCUCCCAUUUCAUUCUAUUUGAGGCUGGGCUUUGUCUGCGCUCAUGCCGGCCUUUCCAGCUCCGAAGAGGCACCUUUGAAGCAGCAGAGAUCGGCAGCAGGAUGACGGUCUUUGGGAUCAAUGACAUUGUCGCUGUGAUCGAGGACAUUCAUUUGAAUCAAUGGCUGUGCUGGAUUGAGGAAAUUGAGCCUCCCGUCAGGUCACCAUCGACCGCCUCGAUUCUACAAGAUUCCAGUGCUCAGCUUCAAGCCCGAGUAUUUCCAUUCACCACUUCGUUAAAGGAAUAAAUGCUUGUUACAAGGACAGGAUAUGAAUGUUUUUUCGAGGUUGAACUUUGUCACUCCUGAUCGCAUGCUCUUUACUCUAAUUGCGCUCCGUUCUGGAUUGAUCAGCGUCGUCCAGAAUUCGCGAUUUCGUUUAGCAACAACCAAGUGCUCGUCUGCAAGUACUUAUGUACUGCACCGUUGAUCUGUUAGUGACCAUGUCCAGUCAGAAUAACUAGAGGGGUGAGAUACGCGAUGAACCGUAUUCUAUUCUUUCUGAGUCCAAAUCUGAAUGGAAAACGUCAAUGAAGAACAGGGGCUCUUCAGUGGCUGGACCUAAUUGCUUGCGUCACACAAGCCAAGCAAGCACGGGACUGUCGGCUCCAACACAAUUUGCAAAAAAGACAAUGGACAUUAUAGAUCUUUGAGCUACAGGCUCACAUUCAUUCAACCACAUAAACUGAGCGCGGUAGAGAGCACAAUUAAGAAGAGGGGUGGCGUUUGCAGAAAUUGCAGGCUGGAUUGUGCGCUGCCAACCAGUUUCAACCCCCUUCGUUUUGAGUCCGCAAGAUCUAAACGCAGAUUAGGGCUGAAUAAUAUUUCAGGUUGAGGACAUCCACUGGAAUAUUGCAAAUGGGACACAUACAUGAAAUCUCUUAGAGAUACGUAUUUGGGUAAUACUUACUAUCAAACAAUAGUAAGGAAGUGGCAUUUAAUUUAAGAGGUUUGUUUAUUUCAAAACUUUAA